rfam:Leptosomus discolor contig39455, whole genome shotgun sequence.
ACAGUGGUCCUUCUCAGGGCCAUAAAAAUAAACAUAAGAAUAAAA